CUCUCGCAUUCCCCCAAACCUCUGCAAGAUCAUUUAAAAAAACCUUUUUUUUAAACCUCAAACUGCUCCGAAUGAUAAAGUCUAUUUGAAAAAAUUUUUUAAACAAAUUAAAACAAGCAGAUCCCGUAGACUCAGAAAUUGCACUUUUCGGGGAGAUUUCCCAGGAACGUGUUAAGGACGUGAAUAAAUAUUAAACUUUACAUCCUGGUAUCUUAUGGUUUCCUACAUCACCCCUACCAAAGUUUGAGAUUAACAUUGAUUUCGUUUCUGUUUACACCGGCCGGCUCAGUAAGAUUAGAAUCAUCCGUUUUGUUCACCUGUGUAUUCCUAGUACUUAGUACAUCCUAGUACCUAUGAGGGCACUUCAUGGGCCUCAAUAUUGGUCUAUGCACUUAGAAGAAUCUCAGACUUCAACACGAACUAUCACAGCCCCAAAUUAACUCCACAUAUUUUUUUGCCAUCAAGCUUGUUUCUUGAAGUCUCCGUCUCACCGAAUGGCCUGACCACCGACCCAGCCUCAGCUCUACAUCCUGCAUUUUUAAGAAGCUUGUGCUGGCGAGGAUUUCGCAAAUUUCGCGUUUGUAGAGGUCUCAGAAGCUGUCUCUCCUGAUGUCAACUAUCGACCUUAGUCACAGAAUUCAUCAGUAAUCUCUGAUGUUUCUACUGUUAAACAACAGCAAUUCGACUGAGUAACUUAGGAGGUGAAGUUGGUUUUGUGGAAUGAUUCAGGAAUCAGGCAGCAUCCCAUCUGACAAGUAGGAGUUCCAUCGAGCUGAAGAAAAGGAAAGGAACAUGCCAAACUGCCCAGCAGAGAAGGUGAGCCUGUGAACACAGAAGUGACAGCAUCAGACAUCAGACACCAUGACCCCAGCGAGAAAUGGAUUUGGGACUUGAAGAGACAGGACUCCUCACUGGAGGGACGGCAGGACUGAGCUGUUUGGAAAGUCUGCGGAUAACGCCUGCGUUGCCGUGGACGUGGUACCAGGCACCUUGGCAAGGGUCCUUCCCUGCGGACUCUGGCUCGAUGCUCUCGCCAACUCUGGGAGGUCAACGCAGCUAUCAUCGUCCUCGAUUUUACAAUCGAGAAAACCAGGGCACAGAGAGGGAAGGUGGCGUGUCUGGGGUCACCUAGGAAGUAGCAGAUCAAAGGAUUGAGCCCAGGACCGCUGGCUCCAGAAUCCGUACUCUUAACCACCCUGCUAGGCUCCCUCUCGGGUGAGGGAAACUCCCUAGGGACCCCCCCCCAGCUCGGGAUAUUAAGGGGGCUUUCCAGAAGUUUCCUAUCGGAAAGGGGUGUUGGGUGCGUUAGGGGUGAGAACCACUGACCUAGUUUGGGGUGUGUUCUUCUCUCCACCAUCUGCCCCCUGGGUGUCUGAGCCAGAACCGGGUGGGGGUCAGCUGUGUGGCAGGGGCAGGGGACUGAGCAGACGGGGUCGGCCAGGUGAGGCCCUCGGAUCCCCACUGGCCAUGAUCCCAAGGACUGUUUAUGCUCACACUCUGCCUCUUUGCUCCU